GUAGGUGGGGUAACGGCUCACCUAGGCGACGAUCCCUAGCUGGUCUGAGAGGAUGACCAGCCACACUGGAACUGAGACACGGUCCAGACUCCUACGGGAGGCAGCAGUGGGGAAUAUUGCACAAUGGGCGCAAGCCUGAUGCAGCCAUGCCGCGUGUAUGAAGAAGGCCUUCGGGUUGUAAAGUACUUUCAGCGGGGAGGAAGGGAGUAAAGUUAAUACCUUUGCUCAUUGACGUUACCCGCAGAAGAAGCACCGGCUAACUCCGUGCCAGCAGCCGCGGUAAUACGGAGGGUGCAAGCGUUAAUCGGAAUUACUGGGCGUAAAGCGCACGCAGGCGGUUUGUUAAGUCAGA
rnacentral:rRNA from 1 species